rnacentral:lncRNA from 1 species
CUUGGCAGCAGUUUUGCCACGAGAGUACCCCGAACAAAGGAGACAGGGUCAUUUAUAACCUGACGCGUCCACCCUUCUGCUGUGUCCGGUUUCCAUUGGCUGGAACAGGACCUCACAUUCUGUAUUUGUCCCGAUUGGCUAGCAACUUAGAACUUAUUAAAAGAGGCAAAGCUAGAGGAGAAAAAAGGAAGGAGGAAGUAACUUGUGGAAUGCUGAGAAAGGUAAAAACACCUUUAAAUAAGGAAGAGAAACAGGCUAUGAACUAAUGCCUGCUUGGACCAGUAUAAGCAUGCCAGGGCAAAUAUUUAGGCUAAAUUGUGGGAGCUAAGAACAUAAAGUAUAUUGGUUUUCUUAUUACGACUAGCAGAUAUUUAAGAAUGUUAGCACAGGUUUUUGAAUAAAUUUUGCUUCUAAGAGAAGUUAUUAUUUAUUCCUAAUUAAAUGGAGAGGAAAGUCUUUGAAGAGGAACCUCUAUUUUUACAUAGAACCUUGCCUGGUAGCGCAAACUAGAAUCAAGGAGUCACAGAGAGUUAGAACUGGAAGAACCUGAGUGAUCUGUCUCCCAGCCCAAUUUCUUCCCGUACCAGUGUGGAGAUGGAGAGUGAAAGUGACCCAUCCUGGGCUGCCCAGCCAGCGGAGUUAACACAAGAACCUGGGGUUUCAUCCUGCCAGUUGAGGUUGCAUUGUAUAUGUUUGUUUUCCAUUCUUUUUUUUUUUUUUUUUUUUUUUUUUUUUGAGACAGGGUCUAGCUCUGUCAGGCUGGACGGAAUAUAGUGGCAUGAUCUUGGCUUGCUGCAACCUCUGCCUCUUGGGCUUAAGUGUCCUCCCAUCUCAGCCUUCUGAGUAGCUGGGACUACAGGUGCACACCACCAUGUAUUUUUUUGUAUUUUUUGUAGAGAUGGGGUUUCGCCGUGUUGCCCAUGCUGGCCUCAAAUGCCUCAGCCUCCCAAAGUGUUGGGAUUACAGGUGUGAGCCACUGCACCUGGCCUGCUUUCCAUUCUUACCUCUGUGUUAAUGACACAGCAUUUUCAAGACAGUUUUGUUCCUAUUCUUUACCCUCUGCAAAGGGUGUUCUUGAUACACAGACACACACACACACACACUUAUAUGUUUUAGGCAAUUGCAGAUAUUUGCUUCUAGUCCAGGGUGCCAGUUACAGAGGUCCCCAUAUCUGCUGCUUUGAGGCUAAUGCUGAGCUGUGGGAUUAUUCUUUUCAUGAGCCCCCUGGCUCUGCUGCUUGGUUGCAGGGCUGGCUCAGAUGACUAAGAACACAGGACCACAGGAGCAAUGGUCCAGUGAGGUAUGCAGUGGAGCUCUGGCUCCACCAGCCUCACAGCAUGAAAUUAAGACGUCAUCUCUGGUCUUUGCUGAAGAAGAUCAUAUCUACUAGUACUGUGCUCUCUUUGCAUGCCAGAGAUUUGACCAGGUGAUGUAAAUAGAGGAUGUCAAGCUCCUCCAUUGUAGAUUAAGCCUAUAAAGUAUUCUUACUGGUGAAUUUGCCUUAGCCUCCUGUGAUAGCAGUUUAUUUAUAUACCUCAUAGAAACUGAAAUCCAGUCAAAGAAAUGACCUAAGAGACUUGUUUCUUUAGAUAGGUAAUCCAGACAAUAACUACUAUUGCCUGGGAUUUAUGAUGUGCUUUUUCUUCCAAGAGCCCUGUGUGCUUUCAAAGCAGCCCAUUCAUCUUCAAGCACCCCUGAGAGGGAUAACUGUCAACAGACUGUUUUCUGCAGGAGGAUGUAAAGCAAAGAUAUGCUGUCUAAAAUCACAGGAGGUCGUCCACAGACAAGUAUCUGGAGCUCUGCACACCUGGCCCAAAAUACACUUGAGCAGGUGAUGUUGACUUUAAGAUGGCUUCAUAUUGAAUGGGAUUUGCAAACACAUGUAAGGCCAUGGGCGCUGCAGGCCCUUGGUGGUUGAUCAUAGUGUUCUUUCCUGUUGAGUCAGUUUGCAGACUCAGAAUCCUUCCCAGCAGUGCUCUACAAGUAGUCACUUCACUUGGUGUUAGCAAGCAGAUUAGAUCCUCUGUCAUUUGUGAGCAGAAGUUGGUCUAAAAUGCUAAGCAGCAUUUGUCUUCUGCCUGAAGUCUUCAUCAAAAUCCCAAAGUGGCUGUUGAAAGGUGACAUCAUUCUGACCUUAAAAUGCAAUAAGGUUAGCUGUCAUUUGACUUUACACUGAAAAUUGAGGUGGAAAAUAGGAUAAUAUAAGAAUCAGUGGCCCCUAAGGAGCAGGAUUUUGGAGAGUUAAGAACCUGGGGUUUCAUCUUGCCAAUUUCAGGAUUCUCUGUCAUCACCUGGUUGAGGCUGUGAGCUCAGGAUUGAGCACGUGACAGUCACAUGAUUUCUGCAGUGAGCCCCAAAGCUUCCACGAGCUUUCCUGGAACCUACGGCCAGAAGAGUCCUGAGAUUUCGAAUAUUAAAGCUUUCUCC